rnacentral:rRNA from 1 species
GAUGAACGCUGGCGGCGUGCCUAAUACAUGCAAGUCGAGCGAACAGAUAAGGAGCUUGCUCCUUUGACGUUAGCGGCGGACGGGUGAGUAACACGUGGAUAACCUACCUAUAAGACUGGGAUAACUUCGGGAAACCGGAGCUAAUACCGUAUAACCUAUUGAACCGCAUGGUUCAAUAGUGAAAGGCGGCUUUGCUGUCACUUAUAGAUGGAUCCGCGCCGUAUUAGCUAGUUGGUAAGGUAACGGCUUACCAAGGCAACGAUACGUAGCCGACCUGAGAGGGUGAUAGGCCACACUGGAACUGGGACACGGUCCAGACUCCUACGGGAGGCAGCAGUAGGGAAUCUUCCGCAAUGGGCGAAAGCCUGACGGAGCAACGCCGCGUGAGUGAUGAAGGUCUUCGGAUCGUAAAACUCUGUUAUCAGGGAAGAACAAAUGUGUAAGUAACUGUGCACAUCUUGACGGUACCUGAUCAGAAAGCCACGGCUAACUACGUG